rnacentral:rRNA from 1 species
GAUGAACGCUGGCGGCGUGCCUAAUACAUGCAAGUCGAGCGAACAGACGAGGAGCUUGCUCCUCUGACGUUAGCGGCGGACGGGUGAGUAACACGUGGAUAACCUACCUAUAAGACUGGGAUAACUUCGGGAAACCGGAGCUAAUACCGGAUAAUAUAUUGAACCGCAUGGUUCAAUAGUGAAAGACGGUUUUGCUGUCACUUAUAGAUGGAUCCGCGCCGCAUUAGCUAGUUGGUAAGGUAACGGCUUACCAAGGCAACGAUGCGUAGCCGACCUGAGAGGGUGAGCGGCCACACUGGAGCUGGGACACGGUCCAGACUCCUACGGGAGGCAGCAGUAGGGAAUCUGCCACAAUGGGCGAAAGCCUGACGGAGCAACGCCGCGUGAGUGAUGAAGGUCUUCGGAUCGUAAAACUCUGUUAUUAGGGAAGAACAAAUGUGUAAGUAACUAUGCACGUCUUGACGGUACCUAAUCAGAAAGCCACGGCUAACUACGUG